ACGUCUACAUUAGAUACCCGCGUAGUCCCAGCCGUAAACUAUGCGCGUUAGGUGUAUCGGUGACCACGAGUUACCGAGGUGCCGAAGGGAAACCGUGAAACGUGCCGCCUGGGAAGUACGGUCGCAAGGCUGAAACUUAAAGGAAUUGGCGGGGAGCACCACAACAGGUGGAGCCUGCGGUUUAAUCGGAUUCAACGCCGGACAUCUCACCGGAUAAGACAGCUGAAUGAUUGUCAAUCUGAAGGUUUUACAUGACUAGCUG
rnacentral:rRNA from 1 species